GGAGAGCAGGCAGAUAUUGGUUUGCUGCGGCAUCCUGCUAAGAUGUUCCAUGCCGAAUGGUGUGGUGAAGGUUCGAUUCCUUCGUUCUCCG
rnacentral:tRNA from 1 species